rnacentral:rRNA from 2 species
CGCGCUGUCUUCUAAUUCUCAUUUACUUCUGGCGGCUCAAGCAAUUGAAUAGCAGUACAGUAGUUCCUUCUUGUUGAGUCUAUAUGCUGUCUCAAGCCGAAGCCGGCAUGAACUAGGAUUAGCACUAUACGGCGAAACUGCGAAUGGCUCAUUAAAUCAGUUAUUGUUUAUUUGAUAGUACCUCUCUACAAGGAUAACUGUGGAAAAUCUAGAGCUAAUACUUGCACAAGAUCCCGACUUCGGAAGGGAUGUAUUUAUUAGAUUAAAAACCAAUGCCCUUCGGGGCUUAUAGGUGAUUCAUGAUAACUUCUCGAAUCGCACGGCCUUGCGCCGGCGAUGGUUCAUUCAAAUUUCUGCCCUAUCAACUUUCGACGGCUGGGUCUUGGCCAGCCGUGGUGACAACGGGUAACGGAGGGUUAGGGCUCGACCCCGGAGAAGGAGCCUGAGAGACGGCUACUACAUCCAAGGAAGGCAGCAGGCGCGCAAAUUACCCAAUCCCGACUCGGGGAGGUAGUGACGAUAAAUACCGAUACGGGGCUCUUUUGGGUCUCGUAAUUGGAAUGAGUACAAUUUAAAUCCCUUAACGAGGAACAAUUGGAGGGCAAGUCUGGUGCCAGCAGCCGCGGUAAUUCCAGCUCCAAUAGCGUAUAUUAAAGUUGUUGCGGUUAAAAAGCUCGUAGUUGAACCUCGGGCUCGGCAGGCCGGUCCGCCUCACCGCGUGCACUGGUCCCGCCGGGCCUUCCCUCCGGGGAACCGCAUGCCCUUCGCUGGGCGUGUCGGGGAACCGGGACGUUUACUGUGAAAAAAUUAGAGUGUUCAAAGCAGGCCUAUGCUCGAAUACAUUAGCAUGGAAUAAUAGAAUAGGACGUGCGGUUCUAUUUUGUUGGUUUCUAGGACCGCCGUAAUGAUUAAUAGGGACAGUCGGGGGCAUCAGUAUUCAGCUGUCAGAGGUGAAAUUCUUGGAUUUGCUGAAGACUAACUACUGCGAAAGCAUUUGCCAAGGAUGUUUUCAUUAAUCAGGAACGAAAGUUAGGGGAUCGAAGACGAUCAGAUACCGUCGUAGUCUUAACCAUAAACUAUGCCAACUAGGGAUCGGACGGUGUUAUCUUUUGACCCGUUCGGCACCUUACGCGAAAGUACAAGUUUGUGGGUACCGGG